rnacentral:rRNA from 1 species
CCUACGGGUGGCAGCAGUGGGGAAUAUUGGGCAAUGGAGGCAACUCUUACCCAGCAAUGCCGCGUGAAUGAAGAAGGUCUUCGGAUUGUAAAGUUCUUUAAUUGGGGACGAAAAAAAUGACGGUACCCAAGGAAUAAGCCCCGGCUAACUACGUGCAAGCAGCCGCGGUAAUAAGUAGGGGGCAAGCGUUGUUCGGAAUGACGGGGCGUAAAGGGGGUGUAGGGGGUGGAGCAAGUUAGAAGGGAAAUACCUAGAGCUUAACUCAGGUGCUGCUUCUAAAACUGCUAUACUUGAGUGCAGGAGAGGAAAGGGGAAGUCCUAGUGUAGCGGGGGAAUGCGUAGAUAUUAGGAGGAACAUCAGUGGCGAAGGCGAUUUUCUGGACUGUAACUGACGCUGAGGCACGAAAGUGUGGGGAGCAAACAGGAUUAGAUACCCGGGUAGUC